AAUGUACUGUAUUUGAAGAUUGCUUA
rnacentral:piRNA from 1 species